GAUGAACGCUAGCUACAGGCUUAACACAUGCAAGUCGAGGGGCAGCAUGGUCUUAGCUUGCUAAGGCCGAUGGCGACCGGCGCACGGGUGAGUAACACGUAUCCAACCUGCCGUCUACUCUUGGACAGCCUUCUGAAAGGAAGAUUAAUACAAGAUGGCAUCAUGAGUCCACAUGUUCACAUGAUUAAAGGUAUUCCGGUAGACGAUGGGGAUGCGUUCCAUUAGAUAGUAGGCGGGGUAACGGCCCACCUAGUCUUCGAUGGAUAGGGGUUCUGAGAGGAAGGUCCCCCACAUUGGAACUGAGACACGGUCCAAACUCCUACGGGAGGCAGCAGUGAGGAAUAUUGGUCAAUGGGCGAGAGCCUGAACCAGCCAAGUAGUGUGAAGGAUGACUGCCCUAUGGGUUGUAAACUUCUUUUAUAAAGGAAUAAAGUCGGGUAUGGAUACCCGUUUGCAUGUACUUUAUGAAUAAGGAUCGGCUAACUCCGUGCCAGCAGCCGCGGUAAUACGGAGGAUCCGAGCGUUAUCCGGAUUUAUUGGGUUUAAAGGGAGCGUAGAUGGAUGUUUAAGUCAGUUGUGAAAGUUUGCGGCUCAACCGUAAAAUUGCAGUUGAUACUGGAUAUCUUGAGUGCAGUUGAGGCAGGCGGAAUUCGUGGUGUAGCGGUGAAAUGCUUAGAUAUCACGAAGAACUCCGAUUGCGAAGGCAGCCUGCUAAGCUGCAACUGACAUUGAGGCUCGAAAGUGUGGGUAUCAAACAGGAUUAGAUACCCUGGUAGUCCACACGGUAAACGAUGAAUACUCGCUGUUUGCGAUAUACAGCAAGCGGCCAAGCGAAAGCGUUAAGUAUUCCACCUGGGGAGUACGCCGGCAACGGUGAAACUCAAAGGAAUUGACGGGGGCCCGCACAAGCGGAGGAACAUGUGGUUUAAUUCGAUGAUACGCGAGGAACCUUACCCGGGCUUAAAUUGCAGAUGAAUUACGGUGAAAGCCGUAAGCCGCAAGGCAUCUGUGAAGGUGCUGCAUGGUUGUCGUCAGCUCGUGCCGUGAGGUGUCGGCUUAAGUGCCAUAACGAGCGCAACCCUUGUUGUCAGUUACUAACAGGUUCCGCUGAGGACUCUGACAAGACUGCCAUCGUAAGAUGUGAGGAAGGUGGGGAUGACGUCAAAUCAGCACGGCCCUUACGUCCGGGGCUACACACGUGUUACAAUGGGGGGUACAGAGGGCCGCUACCACGCGAGUGGAUGCCAAUCCCAAAAACCUCUCUCAGUUCGGACUGGAGUCUGCAACCCGACUCCACGAAGCUGGAUUCGCUAGUAAUCGCGCAUCAGCCACGGCGCGGUGAAUACGUUCCCGGGCCU
rnacentral:rRNA from 1 species